GUACUCGCUUCAGCAGCACAUAUACUAAAACUGAAAUGAUACAGAGAUUAGCAUGGCCCCUGUGCAAGGAUGAUACACAAAUUCAUGAAGCAUCCGUGUUUUUG